rnacentral:rRNA from 1 species
UGCAAGUCCAAGUACACGUCCUUGAACGACGGAAACUGCGAACGGCUCAUUAAAUCAGUUGCGAUCUACUCGGCGUUCCGCGCCGCCGGAUAACCGUAGUAAUUCUAGGGCUAAUACGUGCGAAGCGCCCGAAGCCGCGAGGCGACGGGCGUUCUCGCCGGAUGUAGGGAACCGACCCGGGGACCGCCGGGGCAACCCGGCGCCCCCGAGACGGGGCGAACCACGGUGAAAUGACGGAUCGUCGGCCCCGCGCCGGCGACUCGCCGAAUGAGUUUCUGACCUAUCAACUCGAGACGGCGGGGUAGAGGCCCGCCGCGGUAACGACGGGUAACGGGGAAUCAGGGUUCGAUUCCGGAGAGGGGAGCCCGAGAAACGGCUACCACUUCCAAGGAAGGCAGCAGG